GAAGGAAAUAAUUUCAGAGCGGGUUUCUAUUUUGCGAAUUUUUUAUGCAAGGUUGUCCAACGGCGCGACGGUAUUAGAACUCAGUGUUGCCAAUUCUUUGGCCAAGACUUGGAAUGGUUUAUCAUCAUUCUCUCUGGCGACCACUACUAGCAAGUUCUAAGUCAAUAAGUUUACUGUGUUUAUUUUCUAUGGAGUGGAAUUUUCACCGAGUGCAUCUUCAAGUCAUUAAACUUUUAUGGGGUACAUUUUUGUAAAACCAUACGAAUAUAUUCACUGACAUGACAAACGUCAAAAUUCAAGCCGUGCUUUAAUAUUUCCGAACCCAUCCGAUCGCUUCCAAACCCUUGUAGUAAUAUCCCGGAAAUGUUCGAAGUGGCUCGGAUCCAUGGGAAACGAAACUCAAGUGAAGGGAGUAGAACAAAUUUUUUGCGCGCACCCAAUAUCUAACUUCAAAAACCAAUUGACCAAAAAGUAAAAGCCACCGUGUACGGAUUCCGCUUCACCACUGCAGCAACAGAGGUGCCGGGAGCGACGCGAGUAAUAGAACGCCAGGCCCAACUUUGCUUUUAUGAAGAACAGUUUAAAUGCACCAACUUGUUUGAUUGAAAAUGUAUGAUCGAUCCUCGUAUGAUGACGAUUGCCACACUCUUGAAGUUUCACGGUAAAAAAAUCCUCAACCGGCUAAAUAUAGCGAUAGGCCCGCGGAUACAUUCGGUGUAAACAACACGCUGCUGUUCUUUUUGUUACGCUUUUUUUGCACUAAAUUUCCAUCGUAAAUGUUUCGUGGGUAAUCCCUUUUAAUGCUAAUUAUGAGCACCUGUAUUCCACCGUUCAAUUACAAUAUUUAUAACCACCAACCAAAAGUGUGGAUUGAUUGAAAAUGUUCCUUAUUUGAUUUAUCCAAAGUGUUUUUAUUGUGGCUAGAAUUGUGAGACUCUUUACAAAUUUGGUGACUUUAAUUAGCUACAUCAACGACAUGCAGAAAAACAUGUUGACUUUGGACUGCUUUAUUUUACAAAAAUCUUAUUACGUAUUGGUUAACGGCGAAUAAUUUAAAUAACCACUUUUAAAAGCGGCAAAGCACUUUGAUGAUGGGUUUUGCGUUGUGUUAACUUGCAAUUUGUAUUAUUUCAAUUCAAAUUUAUAUUAUAUCCUCGGGAAGCUUCUCUUUGAAAGAUUAUUAUUUUUCUUCUUAGAAUUUUAAUUUUCUCUUUUUCAACUAGCCAAUUAUAAAAUAUGACCUUUCUUCAAAUUUUAAUUUCCUUAUAGAUAUUUACUAUUAUUAAUGUUUAAUUAUAAAUCCUCCUGAAUUUCUGGGAAGCAAGGAAAGAGUUGUCACAAUUCAUAGAAACUGUAAAAUUUAAGAUCAGAGAAACUUUGGAAAUUUCUUCUUUUGAAAACGAAGGCAUUCGAUGUGAAGAUGGCGUGUAAAAUAUGUUUUAACUGCCAUAUUUGUUUUCACUCGCACUUUAUUCAUACCAAGUUUCGACAGGAUUUGGUGUACUGUUGUGUAUUGUGAUCGGUUUAUAGCAUAGAAAAUAUAUGUAUAAGAAGUAUUCAACAAUUAAAUUAUUGCUCAAUACAUUCGCUGUUUUCUAAUCAAUUUUGGCAUUUUGAUAUUUACAUAUUGUCAAUUGUCAUUUUAACGACCUUUCCUGCGUGUUGAAAUAGCGCCACGAAUGGGUCUAUUAGUAAAUCGCCUGCGCAUUUGCAUUUUCAACUUACAAUUAAGUUAAGUUAGGAGCAGAAAGUUAGAGUACGAUUAUUUGUUCAUUCUUAGUUCUUUAUUAUUCAUUGAGUUUUGUAAACUGCUUUAUACGUUUGCAUUGCGUUAAACAAAAUACAUUUUGAAUUCUUGUUGGUUAAUUGUUAAUUUACGAUUUUUUGAUUUUAGUAUGAAUAUUGUGUCUUCUUCAAAAUAUAACUUUUCCCAAGGGUAGUAAUGUUUUUUAGAAAGUCCAAGGUAAUUGCGAAACAUAUUUUUUAAAAAUUCCCUCCCUCACUCAAUAGAGAAACGAAAAGGAAAACCUCGAACAAAAUUGAUGCAAAAUUGAUAACUAAUAAUUUCUUCUAGUUAUUAAAGCUCAUUGAGGCAAUUCUAGCAGUCAUCUGACAAAUUAGAAAGUGUUUGUUUUCUUUAAAGGCGACGUUGACAAAAACACUGCCAAGGUCUACAAAAUUUUUGUAUAAAAACAAUUUUCGCCGUUGUAAAGCCCAUUGUAAAGCAAAUAUAAUAGCUUCACUUUAUGUGACAGAAUGAAUAGAAAUUCUUUGGAGUAUAUGUGUGUAUUUUAGAGAAAAGA